AGUGAGGUGGCUGAGCUUUAAGCAAUAGACUGUAGAUCUAUCCACGAAUAUACUUCCCUCAUUA
rnacentral:tRNA from 1 species